AUUUAAAGACAACCUAAAGGAAUGUGUCAUGAAGCAGCCAUUGAUAAGGACAUGAACCGGAAUGCGAUGUGGAGUGUAAGUGCUAUUUGAGUAGCCUGAGACUGAGAAAUCAAGAUCACGGUCGUUCUGUGAGACAGAGAUGGUAAAUGAGUUGCCCAGAAAAGAUCAGAGACCAGAACAGGGUCACCUGACUUUGCGCCCCUCCCCAUCCUUAUUCAAAUAGUACUUCCAACUUUGUUGAUGAAGAAACAGCAGCUUGGCUAAUGAGCCAUCAUUUUUGAAUAGAGACUCCCACGAGAAUCUGGCUGCAGAGAAGAAAGAGUAGAGUUGGUUUAAUUCGAAACUGAAGCCCAUAUUUGUAGAGUGCUUACAAUGCACAGCGGACUUACAAAGACCUCACGAAUAUUAAUCCCCAGAGCACCCUGUUGGAUGCAAUUAGACAUUUCUAUUGUGCUUCUUUUCACAGGAAGAAAAAAAAAAUGAAGAAAACAAAGAUCAAGUGCUUUUUUAAACUUUCUUGCAAAGCUGAGAUUUGAACCUAUGUAGUCUAGUGCUAGAACUUUGCCCUUAUGCAUUCAGAUCCCCAACAGGUGCGGAGGGGACGGAGGCGUUUUGUGUCCCUGAUGGUUUUGGAGCUAUUCUGCUCAGUGUGGUUCAUCCUCUUCAGCAAUGCCUCCCAAUUAAUUAGUCCUGCUUCAUUCUGCAGGACAUAGGUUCUUCUGACCACCAACUUCUCUUUCUCAGCAAGCUUCCACUCCAUAGUCCAGGCUGUCCUGGAACUCACGAUUCUCUUUCUUCUGAGUGCUGGGAUUGCAGAAACCCCCAAGAAAGAUCUAUGGUUACCAUUCUUUCAUUAAGAAUAAUCCAUUAGUGUACAAUGAUGAGAACUUAAAGAAGUCUGCCUCUCACCUCCAAGGCUGAGAUGGACAGCACCACAGUCACUGAAUGGAGGAGUCAUGUGGGUUCAUGGCAAAACUGACCGACAGGAGUAGAGGCCCAGCACGCUCCAGGGAGCCACCAGGUGCUGAGAGAGCCCUGCCUGCCUGCUGCCUGCUGCCUGCUGCCGGGUGCUUGGCACGGCACCUGGUGUACAGCAGGUGUUCAGAGCCGAGAGUGGUUGGAAGCCUGCAUGGAAACAGCGAGGCCGGGAAGUGGGCAGCAGUGUGGCACUUGGAGGGGAGAGGGCAGCAGGCUUGAGUUUGACCUACUUUAUUAUCUUGCUCCAGCAGGUGCUGACAGCUGAGCCAUUCCACACACCUUUGGGGCAAAGAACUGCCCGAAGCCGGGGCCAAGUUCAAAGACUGGACGUUCUUUCCAAGGCCACCAGAGGCAUGCUGGGGGACCAGCUCCUGGUUACGUAAGCGGCAGGUUAGCGGGUCCCUCGCGGAUGCACUCAGCCCGGGCCUCCUGGACUUCACGCAGCUAUUAUGCAGACGCAGACUCAGUGCGGUAACAGACUCUGCAGCGCUACCCAAGAGGUGGUGUAUCCGCCCAGACUCUCUCAGACAAGCCUAAAGCUCCUCGUCACCAGGUGGCUAAGGCUGCCUGAUCAGGCUGGCAGGAGGGAAGGGCACGAUUUACUGUAGCUUUUGGCCCAGGCCACCGAACACUCAGUACCUUGUACCCCGUUAGCCUUGGGCAGUAAACCCUCUGAUAAAAUGUUCUUUUUUGGUG